GUUCCUUGUUCUACUCUUUUCCCCCUUCUCACUGCUACUCUUGACUAGUCUUAAAAAAAAAAUAUGGGUCAGGGAAAGGAUGAAUUAGUAAGAAAGUAAAAACCCAAGAAGAUAAAACACACAUGAACCAUUAUGCUCUCACAGACUUUCUGAAAAUUGAAUGAAAAUUUGACUGUAAUUUUCCUAACAACCAAAGUUGAUAGUUAAUUAAUCCUUACUAGUUUUUUAAAUAUGCAAAUAUUUCCUUUGGCAAUUUGUUUUGAAAGAAAAUUCUCAAUUGAUCAUCAUAGAGGAGACAGUGUCCUUAGCGAUAUCCCUAAAGAAAAUACCAGAAGGGGCUUAACAGGGCUGUUUCAAUGUGCUUCGAGAAAGCACGCUGAAUCAAAACAAACCUUAGGAAAAGGAAAUCUGAAGAGGGAUGGGGCAGAGCAGCGGACAAUGGGACCUGGCUGGUGAUGGACCCACAGGAUCCAGGAAUGAAACCUGGGACUAGUGAAAUGGUUGGAAUUUCUGUCCUUCCAAUAAUCAUUAGUUACCUUGCUCUUGGUGAAGCUUUUUACACAUUAGGCAGCCUGUGAUUUUUCGGAGCUUUCUUGGUGACUGCUAUGAACACCUGUCCUCUUCCAUCAGCCCACAGGUUUGUUGCUAUAAUUGCUAGAGAAUAAUUAGCUCCCCCUUCUCUGUUGCCUUCUCAGUCUUGUGGGACUUCUUUUUUCAUUGACAGAAUUUAACCCAGAAUAAUAGUUAAAAGGGGCGAUGGGAAAUGUUUUUAUGGGUGUCUCCCUUGUGAUGCUGAGAUGGCGCUGAGUGGGUAGUAGAGAUCGUCUGGCACACUGUGGUGCCUCUGGCAGUCUCCCAUAUGAGAAGCCAGCAAACAGGUAAGCAAACCCCAAAUUGCCAAACACAGGUAAUUGUAAUACUUGCUUAAAAAAAUCACCUUAAAAACAAAAUUCUGUGUAGAAAUUUGCUUUUCAAAUUCACAUAUAAGAAUUCUUAAAUGUGAAUGGAUCUGGGUGGGGCACAGUGGCUCACACUUGUAAUUUCAGCAAUCUAAGAGCCUGAGGCAGAAGGAGAGCCCAAGAGUUGGAGGAUGCCGUGAGCAACCAUCACACUAUCGUAUCACCCCAGCCUGGGUGGCAGAGAGAGAGCCCACCUCUAAAAAUAAAUAAUAAAUAAAAUGAUCUGCGUGUAGCAUACUGAUUGGAGCUGAGAGUAGAUUUUUCAAUGUUUUCACCACCAAAAUGGUAAGUACAUCAGGUGAGUGAGCUUAAUUUAAUCGUUCUACAAUGCACCCAUGAUACCAAAACGUCAUAUUGUACCUCACACAAGUGUACAAUUUUUAUUUGCCAACUAAAAAGUUUUAAAAACAGGGUAUCACUGACCACCAGAGUAUUCCCUGUUUUAAGAAUGCAAUAUGUUUGGCCCUGAUUUCUGAGAUGCUAAUAUUUUACAACAAAAUAUUAAUGGAAAUGGCUAAAUAAAAUGCUUGCGUGUACAAAGAUCUUAUCCUUGUGUAAAAGCCCGGGAAGAAAGGUAAACAGCAAGCUGAGCAUAAAGGUAUGUCAGGUGUGGGGAGUGAGCGAGACACUUGCAUAUAAUCUAUGCUAUUUGAAAAUUUUAAAAUAUAAAUUUCUAUUUAUUACUUCCUCAAUUCAAAAGUAAAAAAAAUAGGUGGUGCUAUGCCAUAAUAAUUGAUACCUCAACAUAAUAGUUUGCACAGAUUUCUCUGAUGCCAUGUUCUGGGACGGCUCCUAAAGGCUGCAGAUGGCAGGAAGCUCGAGUUCCGAGCACUGUGUGGUGCAGCACGUUGACACCUCAUGCAGUGCCCGGCUCCUAGAAGGUACCCAAGGAAUGCUGGAACUCCGUGAGACCAUGCUUUGUGGCUCUGAGAGGGACGCAUGCAAAAUAGGAAAAUAAGCAGAAGUCAAGUGGAAGGGCCUGGAAGUUCCUCACAGAUGACCAAAAUUUGAUGGACAUUUCUUCUGGGAUUCAAAGAACUAAGAUUUUUGUAUUGCUGCUGGUUUUUUUCUGUUUCUGCUACAAUGUUGAGGUUUUAUUACAUAAAAUUGUUUAAAAAUCAUUGCUAAGGAAGCAAUGUAUGUUCAUAUAGGAGUAUCUAACCUGCACCUGCAGGCCACAUGUGGAUUAUGUGAGGACUUUAUGUGAUGGUGGAUAUCAUGAAAAUUAUGCAUGGACCUUUUUGUGGCUCAUUAGCUUUUGUUAGUGCUUGUAUAUUUACUGUGUGACCCAAGACAACUCUUCUUCUUCCAAUGUGGCACAGAGAAGUCAAAAGUUUGGACACCUCUGAGGGGCAUUUCCACCUGAAGCUGCAGUGGUUUCUAUGUAUCUGACAUGUCUUCAACUUUGGAGUUUCGCCUUGUCCUACUCUGCUGUGCUGCUGUAACAAAAUGCCAUAGAUUGGGAACAGACAUUUGUUUCCCAUAGUUCUGAAGGCUGAAAGUCCAAGUUCAAGGUGCUGGCAGGACUUGGUUUCUAGUGAGAGCCUUCUUUAUGGCUUGCAGAUGGCUACUUUUUUGAUGUGUCCUCAUGGUGGAGAGGCGAGGUCUCUGGUCGCUCCCUCUUCUUAUAAGGGCACCAAGCCCAGUGUGGGGACUCCAACCUUAGGACCAUAUCUAAAUCUAAUUACCUCUCAAAGGCUCCACAUCCAUUCCAUCUCUUGGGGGCAGGAUUUCAACAAAUGAAUUUGGGGAUGGUGCAAACAUUUAAUUCAUAGUACACUUCUUGCUCCGGCAUGUGGGUUCUUUCUGUUUCUUUACUGGACAUAAAGCAAAACAACCGGAAUAAGAUUUCGAUUGUUGUUUCCAGGAGUAAAGGCUCUUUUUGUAAAGGGUCAUGAUAUUCUUAAAAAUUUUCCCUCAAGUGAAAGCUAUAAAAUUGUGACUAAAAUCCAGUAUCCAGAGAGGUCUAUGUUAAGAAUGGCUCAAAAUUAAAUGAAUUGGGGGAAUACCCUGAAUACCAUAUUUGCAGAAGUAACAUUUUUAAACUAUGUCAGGCUGGGAGGAUUUUACCGUUUACUUUUGGUAUAAACAGAUUUUAUCCGGCACUUACCAACAACUUGACCUACAUUUCACAUCGUACAACACAAAAUUUUAGUGAAAAAUAGAAACCAAGAUUUAAAGCCAGAAUUAUUUAAGAGAGGGAGUGUUUAUAGGUACUCUUCUUGUAUUUACUGUCUUAAAAUGGAUGUAGUACCAACGAAGGGUCUAGGAUUUUA